GAUAAAUUUUUGUUGAAUUAUGUAGACGAUAAACUACUAUCUAAAGGGAGGUGAAUAGAUCACAAAUGAAAUUUUCUUGUUUAAAAUUCUGUUUUGAAAAUGUUUAACUAUGGCGAGCGGAAACAAUCCCGAAUCGACUAUCGUCGAUUCUGAACCGUUAUCAAAAGGGUCAGAUAUGCGUUAAAUCGAAUAUAAUGUAUUCAAUUAAUGAGAAAGUGAAUCAAUAUAUUCAACAUUGACAUUUGAAUAAAA
rnacentral:lncRNA from 1 species